GACAGAGGUGCCAAGCGUUAGGCGGAAUCACUGGGCUUAAAGCGUGUGUAGGCGGAUCGUUAAGUGCUUUGUGAAAUCCCACAGCUCAACUGUGGAACUGCUUGGCAUACUGGCGAUCUUGAGCCAUCUAGGGGUUGCUGGAACAAACGGUGGAGCGGUGAAAUGCGUAGAUAUCGUUUGGAACGCCAAUGGUGAAAACAGGCAACUGGGGAUGAUGGCUGACGCUGAGACACGAAAGCCAGGGGAGCAAACGGG
rnacentral:rRNA from 1 species